UACAGAGGUCCCAAGCGUUGUUCGGAUUCAUUGGGCGUAAAGGGUGCGUCGGUGGCGCCGUAAGUCGGGUGUGAAAUUUCGGAGCUUAACUCCGAAACUGCAUUCGAUACUGCGGUGCUUGAGGACUGGAGAGGAGACUGGAAUUUACGGUGUAGCGGUGAAAUGCGUAGAUAUCGUAAGGAAGACCAGUGGCGAAGGCGGGUCUCUGGACAGUUCCUGACGCUGAGGCACGAAGGCCAGGGGAGCAAACGGG
rnacentral:rRNA from 1 species